AUUGAACGCUGGCGGCAUGCCUUACACAUGCAAGUCGAACGGUAACAGGUCUUCGGAUGCUGACGAGUGGCGAACGGGUGAGUAAUGCAUCGGAACGUGCCCAGUAGUGGGGGAUAGCCCGGCGAAAGCCGGAUUAAUACCGCAUACGACCUGAGGGGGAAAGGGGGGGAUCGCAAGACCUCUCGCUAUUGGAGCGGCCGAUGUCAGAUUAGCUAGUUGGUGGGGUAAAGGCCUACCAAGGCAACGAUCUGGAGUUGGUCUGAGAGGACGACCAGCCACACUGGGACUGAGACACGGCCCAGACUCCUACGGGAGGCAGCAGUGGGGAAUUUUGGACAAUGGGCGCAAGCCUGAGCCAGCAAUGCCGCGUGCAGGAAGAAGGCCUUCGGGUUGUAAACUGCUUUUGUCAGGGAAGAAAUCUUCUGGGCUAAUACCCCGGGAGGAUGACGGUACCUGAAGAAUAAGCACCGGCUAACUACGUGCCAGCCGCCGCCGUAACAC
rnacentral:rRNA from 1 species